UACGUAGGGCGCAAGCGUUGUCCGGAAUUAUUGGGCGUAAAGAGCUCGUAGGCGGCUUGUCACGUCGGAUGUGAAAGCCCGAGGCUCAACCUCGGAACUGCCUUCGAUACUGCGGGUCUCGAGUCCGGGAGAGGUGAGUGGAAUUCCUAGUGUAGAGGUGAAAUUCGUAGAUAUUCGCAAGAACACCAGUGGCGAAGGCGGCUCACUGGCCCGAUACUGACGCUGAGGCACGAAAGCGUGGGGAGCAAACAGG
rnacentral:rRNA from 1 species